CUGCCCAGGGAGGUGGUGAAGUUGCUGUGCCUGGAGGUGUUCAAGAAACGGGCAGAUGUGGCACUGAGGGAUGGGUCAGUGGGCGCUGGGGAUGGGCUGCUGGUUGGACUGGAUGGUCUCAGUGGUUUUUUCCAACCUUAAUGAUUCUAGGAUUCUAUAUCUGAACUCAUCCUCCAGAUAUGUAAAUCUCUCUUUGUUGAAAUAGGGCUCUGGUCUGACAAACUAUUAAUCCAAUGACUUUUAAACAAAUCUCUGUAGUUACGAGUGCAGUGAUCCUGCUUAGUGAUCUGACGUGUCCUGGGCACGCUGAGCAAACCCGAAGAAGCAGCCACACGUGGUGCCCUGCUUCGUGCUCCGUCCCCUGCCAGCCAGGCAGCCCAGGCAGGGCACUGUGCCUUUGGAUGAGGUGCCUGGGUGCUCCUGCCAAGGCUCCUGACAAACAUCUGCAGCAAGGAGCUGGGACCGCCCCCCAGCCAGGCAGAGCUGAGCUGCUGCCAGCAGGGGAGGAGGUUUCUGUGGGUACCAGAUCAUGGAAUCACAGUCACAGAAUGGCUUGGAUUGGAAGGGGGCUUAGCGCAGGUCCUGUUCCAAUCCCCUGCCGUGGGCUGGCUGCCCCUCACCGGAUCAAGCUGCCCAAGGGGGCCCAGGCCUCCCACACCUCCAGGGAGGGGACACCCACACCUCCUCUGGGCAGCCUGUGCCAGGGCCUCACCAAAGCUCUGCACAUCUGCAUGGCUGACUCCCUGCACAUGCUCAUCCUUCCCUCCCUUGACAUCCUCUUCCCGUUUUCAGGCAUUCCUUUCCCUUUGUCUCCAUGACCCAUGACCCAUGCCCUGGGCCAGUGGGUUAAGGGCUAUUCAGAAUCAUAGAAAUAGCAAAGACCAGGAAAUUGCUAAACUAAGCAUGCACACAAACAUUAAUGAGCAAGUGAUAAUAGAGAUAAUAACAAAAGCCAGAAUUCCUGGUUGAUGUGGUUGAUGGGCAAUUAGAAGAACUAAUCCAGCCUUGGAUUAUAACUGUUGACAUGAUAAGCAUGAAUACUGUGGGUUGUUUUAUGAGAUUCGGAGGACUUUCUUCACCAGAGGGUGGUGGGCAUGGAACAGGCUGCCCAGGGCAGUGAGCACGGCCCCGAGCUGCCCGAGUUCAAAGGGUGUUUGGCCAACGCUCUCGGACCAGCUUUGAAUGCUGGGUGGUCCUGCGUGGAGCCGGGAGUUGGACUCUAUGACCCUUGGGGGUCCCUUCCAACUCGGAUGUUCUAUGACUUCAUAAAACUUCCUAUGAUCUGUCCAGGGGAAAGACCAAAGCCAUGGAAAGGGCAUGACUAGGGAGGAACAAGUAGAGACACACGUGAGCAGGCUGUCAGGUGGGAGAUUCACCUGGCUGAGCCCUGCACUGAGCCCCGUCAUAUGGCCUCAUUAGAUCCCAUUCAUUUUUUCAGGGGAAUCAUUCAUUUAUGCAUGGGACCUGGCAGCGCCUAACAUAAAUAGCUGUAGCAUAUAGAAGAAUCCAGUGGAACUAGGGAAAUACGAGAGAACCUGCAAAGAAAAUGCAGCCAUUCCACUCAAACUGCCUCCAGACAGGCCUCACUUUUUUUCAGCAGCGUGAGGCACGGUGACAUCGACAGCUGCUGAGUUAAAGUUCUCUUUAACAAAGUUUGAAGCCAUUUCCAGCAACUUGAAAGAAGGAAAUGAUGUCUAAAAAUGGAAAGGUUGAGGCUCAAGAGUCUUCAGAACUGGAACUGUCCACUCAGGAACUGAAUGCCUCCGAGUUCCAAGCAUGGGGCUGGUCUCGUUGAACGAGAGCACAAGUGAACCAUACUUCAGACAGUCUACAGUUCAGUGAAAAGACAAAAGAUAGCAGACAGAUACAGGCUGUAUAUGUGUGAGUAUGCACACACUUAUUGGGAAUAUUACCCUCAUACCAGCUACCUUCUGGAAAAUGAAACACAGCAGCCUGCUUCUGUGGCACUGGAACAGAAGAACUCCCUGGCACUUGAAGUCUUUGGUGUCUGGCUUCCCUUAACAAUAUUAAGCACCACCAAAAGCUGAGAAACUAGAAGCAACUCACUACUUCUUUCAAGUUACUGAACCCAUCUAGUAUUUGCUUCUCAUUAAAUUAGUUGCACCACAACGCUGCUUCUUUCCCCAAGUUUGUUCCUUGUAUUUCCUUAAAGUUCACAAAGGAAAAGAACACAUCCUCUACAACACAGAUUGCACCUAAACGGUCACCACCACCAAGAAUGCUCAGAAUAUAUCUUGCAUCCACAUUUACUAAGGCAGAGCUCAGCAGUGACUACAGACGAAGGCAGAGCAAGGCUCCCACCACCCAACCAUCAGAUCCAAACCCCGCUCCGAAGCCCACGGGCUAAGGGCAGCCAAGCCGAACCGAUGCAAUUCCUGCCCUGUCCCACUUCAUGCGGGGCUCCACACAGGACUACCCAAAACAAUCCCUAGCCCCCACGGCCACCACACCAAGUCCAGCCCCUCUGUCACCACCACGAACGACUUCCAUCCCGUCCUACCACCACGACGCCAGCCCUACCACGCCCUAUCACCACACAGCCCGCUCCCACAUCCACGCCCCGCUCCU